rnacentral:rRNA from 1 species
AUGGCGUCGACCACCACCAGGCUCGUGUGUGCACCCCUGUUCCUGCUCUUGCUCUCCAUGUCCAAUGCCAACUCAGUCCAAGAGACCGGCAGCUCCCUCAAAAGCUCCACUCAGAAGAAUGUGUUCGUCCUCGACAACUACGGCGCCCGUGGCGACGGGAAGCACGACGACACGCAGGCCCUGGCCAAGGCGUGGAACGCGGCGUGUUCCUCGUCCCGGCCGGCCGUGCUGCUCGUACCCAAGGGCAAAACCUAUCUGCUCAAGGCCAUCACCCUCUCUGGCCCGUGCAGAUCCAGCAUCGUCUUCAAGGUGAAGGGCACACUCAUCGCUCCUCCGAGCAUGUCGGCGUGGACCGAGAACAACAGGAGGCGCUGGAUCUUCCUCCAGCGCAUCACCGGCCUCACCGUCAAUGGUGGCGGCACCAUCAACGGCAACGGUGAGAUCUGGUGGCAGAACUCGUGCAAGACCAACAAGGCUCUGCCGUGCAAGGGGGCUCCCACGGCCCUGACGUUUCACCUCUGCACUAAUCUAAAGGUGGACAACCUGAAACUUGUAAACAGCCAACAAAUCCAUGUGUCGGUUCAGGACUGCAGCAACGUGCACUUGGCCCGGCUGACCAUCACCGCGCCUGGCACCAGCCCAAACACCGACGGCAUCCACGUCACCCACAGCAAAUAUGUGCAGGUCAGAGAUUGUCUCAUCAAGACCGGCGAUGACUGCAUAUCCAUCGAGAACGGAACUCACGAUCUUCAUGUCACAAAAGUUGUUUGUGGCCCGGGACAUGGCAUCAGCAUUGGAAGCUUAGGAGACGGCAACUCCAGAGCCGAGGUAUCCCGUAUUUACAUCGACACCGUGCGAUUGUAUGGCACGACCAAUGGAGCCCGGAUCAAGACAUGGCAGGGAGGGAGUGGAUACGCCGAGGAUAUCGUAUUCCAGAAUAUGAUCAUGGAUGCCGUGCAAAAUCCAAUUAUCAUUGACCAAAACUACUGUGACUCCGCCAAGCCAUGCAAGAGCCAGAAUUCGGCGGUAGAGGUACGGGAUGUGGCGUUCAAGAAUAUUCGAGGGACUACCAUUUCCAAGGAUGCCAUCAAGCUGAGUUGUAGCAAGGAUCUCCCGUGUUCUGGCAUUGCCUUAGAGAACAUCGACCUUAAAUUGGAGGGUGGGAAGGGUGACACCGAGAGUACCUGCCAGAACGCAAAAUGGAGGAAGUCAGGAAAUGUUGUUCCACUACCAUGUAAAGGAAAAAAUUAA